AUUGAACGCUGGCGGCAGGCCUAACACAUGCAAGUCGAGCGGGGUUUUCGGACCUAGCGGCGGACGGGUGAGUAAUGCCUAGGAAUCUGCCUGGUAGUGGGGGACAACGUUUCGAAAGGAACGCUAAUACCGCAUACGUCCUACGGGAGAAAGCAGGGGACCUUCGGGCCUUGCGCUAUCAGAUGAGCCUAGGUCGGAUUAGCUAGUUGGUGAGGUAAUGGCUCACCAAGGCGACGAUCCGUAACUGGUCUGAGAGGAUGAUCAGUCACACUGGAACUGAGACACGGUCCAGACUCCUACGGGAGGCAGCAGUGGGGAAUAUUGGACAAUGGGCGAAAGCCUGAUCCAGCCAUGCCGCGUGUGUGAAGAAGGUCUUCGGAUUGUAAAGCACUUUAAGUUGGGAGGAAGGGUUGUAGAUUAAUACUCUGCAAUUUUGACGUUACCGACAGAAUAAGCACCGGCUAACUCUGUGCCAGCCGCCGCUGUAAUAC
rnacentral:rRNA from 1 species